rnacentral:rRNA from 1 species
AUUGAACGCUGGCGGCAUGCCUUACACAUGCAAGUCGAACGGCAGCACGGGAGCAAUCCUGGUGGCGAGUGGCGAACGGGUGAGUAAUAUAUCGGAACGUGCCCAGUCGUGGGGGAUAACGUAGCGAAAGCUACGCUAAUACCGCAUACGAUCUAUGGAUGAAAGCGGGGGAUCGCAAGACCUCGCGCGAUUGGAGCGGCCGAUAUCAGAUUAGGUAGUUGGUGAGGUAAAGGCUCACCAAGCCGACGAUCUGUAGCUGGUCUGAGAGGACGACCAGCCACACUGGGACUGAGAAACGGCCCAGGCUCCUACGGGAGGCAGCAGUGGGGAAUUUUGGACAAUGGGGGCAAGCCUGAUCCAGCAAUGCCGCGGGCAGGAUGAAGGCCUUCGGGUUGUAAACUGCUUUUGUACGGAACGAAACGGUGAGCUCUAAUACAGUUUGCUAAUGACGGUGCCGUAAGAAUAAGCACCGGCUAACUACGUGCCAGCCGCCGCCGUAACAC